CCUACGGGAGGCAGCAGUGGGGAAUAUUGGACAAUGGGGGCAACCCUGAUCCAGCCAUGCCGCGUGUGUGAAGAAGGCCCUCGGGUUGUAAAGCACUUUCAGUGAGGAAGAACGCCUGGUGGUUAAUACCCAUCAGGAAAGACAUCACUCACAGAAGAAGCACCGGCUAACUCCGUGCCAGCAGCCGCGGUAAUACGGAGGGUGCGAGCGUUAAUCGGAAUUACUGGGCGUAAAGCGCGCGUAGGUGGCUUGAUAAGCCGGUUGUGAAAGCCCCGGGCUCAACCUGGGAACGGCAUCCGGAACUGGGAAGGUAGAGUGCAGGAGAGGAAGGUAGAAUUCCCGGUGUAGCGGUGAAAUGCGUAGAGAUCGGGAGGAAUACCAGUGGCGAAGGCGGCCUUCUGGACUGACACUGACACUGAGGUGCGAAAGCGGGGGUAGCAAACAGGAUUAGAUACCCGUGUAGUC
rnacentral:rRNA from 1 species